ACUUCACUUCGGUAUCUUUAUUUUGCUUCACUCUCUUCUCUCUCUCACACCCCAGCCCAACACAACCGUCAAUGGCGGGGGGGGGGCGGCAUCGACCGCCGUGGUCCACAGGCGUGUAGAAUCAACAACGGCCUCUUCACGAAAUACUAACCCUAACAGAACCCUAACGAUCUCUUCUUCUCUAUAUUCUUCUUCUUCAAGGGCCUCUCUUUCAACUUAGUUCCUCUCUCCCUUCGUUGGCGGAGGAAUCAGGAUAAUAGUUUUUGUCAUUGCUUCCAAAGCUUCCUAACAGAUUGUGAAUUUAGAAAGUUUCCCCAAGUCUGUUUACUGUGUUGGACUGGAUGAGGGAAAUGUUUAUGUGUUGGAGUAUAUGCCAUCUUCUUAUUAAUGUUAACCAUGUCCAUGCUAAGAAAAGAAGCAGUUUGCUUUCUAUAUAUUUAUGUAUGCUUCUGUAAAUAUUCAUAUGCAUGUGAUCGCAUGAAUAGUGCGCUUUAAAUGCUCUAUAGGGCAAUACAUUUAUCAUUGCCAACUCCAAAGCCUACUGGAUGAUAAUGCGAGCAAGGACUAGUUUAAUUCUGACGAGGAGGAUAUGCAUGGAGUGGAGCAUAUAUUAUAGUGAUAAUAGUUUAUUAAUGACCUCUAUUUAAGAGUGUUCUCUGCUUUGUGAUUUUAAAAUAAGCUCAGUGGCAUUUAUGAAUGCAACAAGUAAACGUUCCCAAAUCCCAUCCUUGAGGAAAUUCUUGUGUAUAUUUUCUUCAAUGAAUGUUUUACACCACUGCAGGUAUGUCAAGUCGCCUAUAUUUACUCUCUGUGUUGGUAAUGCUUGGGGAGAAGCAGCCAUGCUUUUGGCCGCUGGUUCAAGGGGAAACCGCUCUGCUUUACCCUCAUCGACGAUCAUGAUAAAGCGGGUAUUUUUGUGAUAGAUGCCAAUUGGGAGAUUUCAAGGUCAAGCAACAGAUGUUGAACUUGCAAGGAAAGAAACAAAGAGUGUGAAAGCAGAAUUGUAGAGCUGUAUGUGGGAUAAUGGUUGCAAUUUUCCAUGAGCCACAACCUCAUCCUGACCUCCUCUAACAAGGUAGCUCGGUGAUCUUGAGAGUUAGGUUGGGUAGCAUGGGCCUCAUCUCAACUUACCUUGUUCUGGGGCACAAUGGGCUUGGUGGGCUUUGCUCCAAACCUCACAGACUGUAUUGGUGGGCAAGGAAAAUACAAAUUCAGGUCGACUGGCGCUAAUGACUGGGUUGGUUUUACACAUUUUACUUGUACAUUUGUAUUACAGGAUACAGAACCUGUCAGAACAAUGCCUGUUUGGCCUGCUCACAGUUGCGAGUGGAAGUUUAAAUGAUAGCCAGCAAAUACAACUGAAGGCUUGUUUGCACAUGUUUGCGUGUGUGUGUGUGUGUGCAAGCACACACUAGGGAGGGAGUUUAUGUUUUGCCUACGGGGGAAGAAACUAGGGGUGUGAGGAGGGAGAACUUUUUGGCUUCCCAAAAGUAACCGAUACUUGAUCUUAAUCAAAGGUUUAGACCCUUGGUUCAAAACAUAAACAAUUUAAUUUCUGGAAGAAAAUGACUUAGAAUAACUUCCACAAUUGAGAAGGCUUUAGAAAUUUGCUCUUUUAUCAAGUGCAUUGUGGCUGAGCAGUGAGCUCACACUUCAACUGCUGCUGCUGUUAUUCUGCAUGGGAAGCUUUAAAAUGCUCGAUUUAUGGCACUUGUGAUUUCUUGCACUACAUUUUUAAAUGCUCGAUUUUCUGAUGGCAGUGCCAAAGUUGAUGUAUUUAGUUAGGUAGUCAUGCGGUGACCACAAGAGUUCAUUGAUCAUGCUCUCUCAUAAAGUGCCGAUCAUUUUUUAGAAAUUUUGAUGCUGAACAUGCUUUUUCAUGGCAUUGCAAUGAAAUAAUUUUUACUUCCAAUGCGUUGAUGUACAAACCAUUUGAACCCUCCAAAAAAUAGAGAUAGAGGAACCAACUCUCUAGAACAUGCACAUUCAAUCACCGCCCUACACCUUUGCAAUCGAUGCACCAACUUUGCAUCAGUCCUGCUCUUCACUAAUUCACUGCUCUUGCUCUUGAGAUCAAGCAUGUUCUGGCAUGAAAUUAAUGCAAUUGCUUGUUCUUUUCAUGGGUACACCACCUCAGCAUUAUUGCUUCAUAUUUCUUACCUGAGACUUCUUCAGUGAGACACUUGGAAAGUGUUUUGACUUUAUCUAAAUUGCUGAUUUGACAAUAUAGUAAGCAUGCGUUGCAAGGUGGAUUUGCUUUUUUUAUUUUCUGUAAAAUUUGUUGGAUCUUGAGAUUCCUAGUGUUCGAAAGAGGCAAUUUGGUGAGUGGUGUUCCUUGUUGUCAGGUAAUAGGAGCUUCAUCCCCUAUCAUACAAGAAAUUUUUCUCUUUUCUCAUCACAGAUUUGCAAGUGGAGGGAGGGGAUGCCCCAUACACAGUUUGGCCCCAGUUAUCAACAUUGCCUCUUCCAUUAUUUGCUUCAAGUGCUUAAAGCCCAUUCUUGAGGGUGAUGUCAUACUUCACAAACCCUUUAUAGUGAUUGUCACCAUCUUCAAACAGGCCUUCAUUCUCUUAGCAGGGAUCUUUGCGUUAUGUGUGCGAACUGUCGAGUUACGAGUGAACCACUGAGCUGAUAAUUGUUGAGAGUUAAAAUUGCUCAUGGUUUUGUACUUAAAAUCCUUUAUUUUUUUAGGUUAUUUUAAAGAGUCUUUGGCUGGAGGAUUGUAGAUUGAAUUGAUGAAAGGCUCUGACAAGCUGUGAACAGAAAGCGUGUUUUGAAGGAGAAACAAGGCUGUGGAGAUGAGAACCC